GUGCCAGCAGCCGCGGUAAUACCGGCAGCCCGAGUGAUGGCCGAUCUUAUUGGGCCUAAAGCGUCAGUAGCUGGCUGCGCAAGUCCGUCGGGAAAUCCACUCGCCCAACGAGUGGGCGUCCGACGGAAACUGCACAGCUUGGGACCGGAAGGCUCGAAGGGUACGCUCGGGGUAGGAGUGAAAUCCCAAAAUCCCGCACGGACCACCGAUGGCGAAAGCACUUCGAGAAAACGGUUCCGACAGUGGGGGACGAAAGCCAGGGUCUCCACCCGGAUUAGAAACCCUAGUAGUCC
rnacentral:rRNA from 1 species